rnacentral:rRNA from 1 species
GACGAACGCUGGCGGCGUGCUUAACACAUGCAAGUCGAACGGAAAGGCCCUGCUUUUGUGGUGUGCUCGUGUGGCGAACGUGUGAGUAACACGUGAGUAACCUGCCCUUGACUUUGGGAUAACUUCAGGAAAAUGGGGCUCAUACCGGAUAGGAGCUCCUGCUGAAUGGUGGGGGUUGGAAAGUUUCGGCGGUUGGGGAUGGACUCGCGGCGUAUCAGCUUGUUGGUGGGGUAGUGGCUUACCAAGGCUCUGACGGGUAGCCGGCCUGAGAGGGUGACCGGCCACAUUGGGACUGGGAUACGGCCCAGACGCCAACGGGAGGCAGCGGUGGAGAAGAGUGCACAAUGGGCGGAAGCCUGAUGCAACGACGCCGCGUGCGGGAUAACGGCAUUCGGGUUGUAAACCGCUUUCGCCUGAGACGAGGCGUUAGUGACGGUAAUGGGUAAAGAAGCACCGGCUAACUACGUG